UACGUAGGGACCAAGCGUUGUUCGGAUUUACUGGGCGUAAAGGGCGCGUAGGCGGCGCGGUAAGCCACUUGUGAAAUCUCUGAGCUUAACUCAGAACGGCCAAGUGAUACUGCAGUGCUAGAGUGUGGAAGGGGCAAUCGGAAUUCUUGGUGUAGCGGUGAAAUGCGUAGAUAUCAAGAGGAACACCUGAGGUGAAGACGGGUUGCUGGGCCAACACUGACGCUGAGGCGCGAAAGCCAGGGGAGCAAACGGG
rnacentral:rRNA from 1 species